CCUCCCCUUCCCCUCGUGCCGCCGUCCCCUCCCCUUCCCCUCGCGCCGCCGCCCCCUUCCCCUCGCGCCGCCGCCCCUCCCCUUUCCCUCGCGCCGCCGCCGUCGGAGAAGCACCGCGGCCACUGCUGCUCCGCGUCGCCGCUCCUCACCCAUCCACCGCGACCGCCUCCUCUCCCGGAACCCUAGCCAGCCGCACGCAACCCAUGGCGUCGUCCAGCUCGCCGCCCUCGGCCAUCGCGUCGUCGCGGGGCUCAUCGCGCAAGCGCACGGCUUCCGCCAAGGCCGCAUCAGAGGCCGACCAGGAGGCCACGGUCUCCAAGUGCUCCCGCAAGAGUGCCGCGUCCGGGAAGAAGAAGUCGGCGCCCAAGGCGGCGGCGGGAAAGAAGCCACAGAAUUGGUGAGAGUCUCCAUGCUUCACCACUGCUAGCAGAAGCAAACCUCCUCUCCGCUCAUUGCUGGUGGUUCAGACUCCGAUGUAGAUCGAUCCAGUGCCACCCUCCUCGGUUAUUUUGCUUGGUGGUACGUGGAUCUGCUCGUGUAUUAGUAAAUCAUGUUGUUGACGCAGCAGGAGCGCUUGGUGCCACGUCCACUUCAUCUGAUUAUGUGAAUAUAGUGGUUGACAUGCUCGGUUCAUCCUCAUCGGCGUCUAAACCUGAGGCUCCUAACUUUCUCAAAUGUUCUCCAGUUAUUCCCCCCUCUCCUUCAGAUGUGAUUAAUUUGGCAUGGGUACGCGUACAAUCGGAAUGAGUAAGGUGGGCUUCGUGUUGCUUUCUCUUAUCUCAUGGCUGCCUCUUGUGUGCAGGUUAAUUAAUUAUUUUGGUGCUCGAUUAGUCGCCAUUGUCGGAUGAUACUUUAGGUUUGCACUUCCCAUUGAGCUCUUGGCCUGGUUGCUGGCAUUGGUUCUUCUGUUGUGCUACUUACUGCAGUUUCGUUGUUGAUUUAGUAGGAAAGCUGAUGUUUAUCUACACAAGGGACUUGCUAUAUUGCGUACUCGGAUGCAACAUUUACUGGGCCAUCAAAAAGGAGGGGGGCUGGAUCCCAAGGGGCCGAGUUGUAGUCCUCCAGAGUUGUUGGGAAGAAGAUGGGUAAGCUCCUCUUGCUCUUCCACCCCUCUGCUGCGAGGAUCUAUAAUUUUGUGCACGCUACUGAUUUUGGAGACUUUUAGAGUAUUGAGCUACAUCACUAGCGAACGAGCUUGCAAAAUUUUCCAGUAUGCUGCACCUGUGAUUAGAGGUUCAGGCCGUACCAGUUUUUGGGUCUUUAUAUUGGUGAUUUCGUUCUGUUAGGAGGUCACUACCGAAGGAGUAAAUUACUAGCGAAAGAGCAGUUGAUGUAUGAACAUCAUUGGGUUCAAGGAGUAAAUUAUUAUGGUUUGGCUGAAAUGUCAGUUCAUUACUAUUACAUGAAAUCUAGAACCUAUGCUAAUGUGUCCAAUCUAGACAAGGAGGACAGAUAUUUAUUGGGGGGCCUGAUUCUUAUGUAGUUUCUCUCUAUAUUGCAGAACUCCCUACUCUCAUUUGGUGCACCCCAGUAUGUAGUGUCAAUGAUUUCAAUGUCCCCAGGAAUCUCAAACCGUAUGUACAGUCAAUGAUUGCAAUGCCUCUAGGGAUAUCCCAAGAAAUAUUUCUUAGUUCCAAGUUCUGAAUACGCGUCAAUCCAGCAUCUAUUUUUGACCCUGUAGAUGAAUUUAUCCCUGGAUGUUUAUGCCCGGAAGGAGGAGGCAUACCAAUGAUAGUUUGAAUCAAACUAAUAGAGGACGCCACCAUCGAUUAUGGUGUCGAGCGACUAAAAUGUAAUGAACUGGUAGUGCGACUGUUGACCUCCUUGAAACUAAUCACGUUCUUCGCUCCCGAACUCACGCAGUAGACAAGCAACUCUUCUUUUAUAACUGCAGACAAGUAUGACUCCAUACCCUUAAAUUCCCUGCACUAUUCUCAGGGUCGUUGAAUACAUAAUGUGACCCCACAUAAAUGGUUAGGAACUAGCUAAAUUUUAUUUAUCUUCGAUUCCCUACCAAAAUAUUCCUACUGCAUAUGUUAGGAAGGAUCUAUAAGAGUUGCUGCUAUGUAUAUGUUGUUGAAACCUCCAAUGUAGUUAAUCUCCGGCUCUUAUCAUCUUUCUUUGUUCAAGCCCUUGAGAGAAUGCUUUUAAAUUUAUGAACUGAAUAUAAUUCAAGAUUUAGUGAAAAUGCACAGUGAUCUUUACAACUUAUCUAUUUCUUUUUUCUGUGAGACUUCUUCGAAGAUAAUAAUUUGCCCAAAAAUAAUGUUCAGUAGUCAUGUUCCCCUUUUAAUCACUGUACUUUAGUAAUCUUGAUAUCUACAAAAUCUUUGAAACCUGACACCACUCAUGUAAUUGGCCAUUAUUUUUUGUCUUAAAGUCCCAUGUCUUAUCGCUAAUUGCAGCAUUGUUUUUCACCAGUGUGUCAUAGAUUCAGUUCUGCAUGAUGUGCUUGGUAUAGGAGAAAAUCAGUCUGCCAAUAUUAUUUUCCUGCUAUUUGACAUACACAUGUUUACAUAAACUGUACCAGUUGCAUGGAUGUACCAAUUGUUAUCCAGCAAGCUUUGAAAGUUAACACAAAGAAUCUGCACCCUAGGAUAAUUGUAAGGAAUGUGUGACCAAAACCACAUCUACCUUUUCUAAUGUUAUUAUCCUAGGUGCUCCGCAGGACACGCACAGCCGCCACCACACCGCAGAGACGGACGAGGAUGUGAUGCUGCUCCUUCUUGUGGUGUAUGCGUCGGCGUGGCUUGCGGUAGUGAGGCAUAUCCUCGUGGGCAAUGCUAUUUGAAGACCAUUCAAGUGAUUUAAAAGAGAAGAUGUCCAGAAUGUAACGAGGUUGAAGAUGACGAUCAAAAGAUUGACGUAUUAAGCGACUGUCAAGAUGCCAAUAAUGCUUGCCCCCUGCCAUUAUUAGUAAUGCCCUUGCUCUUCUUUAUGAAAUCUUUCCUAUUAUAUAUUGAUGCAUCAACUAUCAUUGCAGAUCGUGAGAUCCCUAUUUACAUGGAUGACUCAGCGGCUGGCCUGUACAGAGUUGCGUGGCAGGCAUGUGUUCCCAGCCACCUUACCAAUUGUAGGCUUAGAAUGAUUUGCUUCGUCCCAAGUGUUGUUCGUCGACAAUUACUUUGUAUGUCCAUGUCGAUUCUGAAUUUAGAGGACACAUAUGUUUUGGUAGGAAGUGUAUUGUUCUUCUAUUUUUUCCUGGUGUAUACUGACUCGUGCAGAUUAUGAAUUCCC
rnacentral:rRNA from 1 species